GGGGGAAUAUUGGGCAAUGGGCGAAAGCCUGACCCAGCGACGCCGCGUGGGUGAUGAAGGCCUUCGGGUUGUAAAGCCCUUUCGUGCGGAACGAACAGUCCCGUGACUAAUACUCACGGGAUUUGACGGUACCGCAGGAAGAAGCACCGGCUAACUCCGUGCCAGCAGCCGCGGUAAUACGGAGGGUGCAAGCGUUGUUCUGAAUUACUGGGCGUAAAGGGCGCGCAGGCGGUUGUGCAAGUCAGUUGUGAAAUCCUCCGGCUUAACCGGAGAACUGCAUCUGAAACUGCAUGACUCGAGUACAGAAGAGGGAAACGGAAUUCCCGGUGUAGAGGUGAAAUUCGUAGAUAUCGGGAGGAACACCAGUGGCGAAGGCGGUUUCCUGGUCUGAUACUGACG
rnacentral:rRNA from 1 species